rnacentral:rRNA from 1 species
CGUAGCGGCAGGCUUAACACAUGCAAGGUCGAGGGGCAGCACGGGUAGCAAUACCUGGUGGCGACCGGCGGCAAGGGUGGCGUAAACGCGUGAGCAACAUGCCCUAUACAGGGGGAUAAUCCAGGGAAACUUGGUCUAAUAUCCCAUAGUAUUUAGAGGAGGCAUCUUCUAUAAAUUAAAGCUUCGGUGGUAUAGGAUUGGCUCGCGUGACAGGUUAGCUAGAUGGUGAGGUAACGGCUCACCAUGGCAAUGAUGUCUAGGGGUUCUGAGAGGAAGGCCCCCCACACUGGGACUGAGACACGGCCCAGACUCCUACGGGAGGCAGCAGUGAGGAAUAUUGGACAAUGGAUGGAAAUCUGAUCCAGCCAUGCCGCGUGCAGGAAGACAGCCCUAUGGGUUGUAAACUGCUUUUAUAUGGGAGCAAUAAGGUCUACGUGUAGACUGAUGAGAGUACCAUAUGAAUAAGCAUCGGCUAACUCCGUG